CGAUCUGCUCUUUGCUGCAUGACGCAGCUAGCGGCAAAAAUAGACCUGCUACCUAUUCUCUGGGGAGAGGAGCGGAGAGCCGCUUCUGGUGGACUCACGAGCACUGACUAUAAUGGCCGCGAUUAGCGCCAUAGCCAGAGUCAGUGGAUUUUAAGGGGGAGAAUGGACACAUGUCGUGUCCAGCUGUUGAACGUUUGAAGUCAACAUUUAACCAGAGUGUGGCCGGAGUCAGCCAUACAGGGAAAAUUAAAGGAGUCAGCGCGGCGCAGAGCAAACGGCUCCACUGGGGCUGAAAGAAAGUGGGGCCCGAGGCGCGAAGAGUCCCACCAGAUUGAUUCACAAAAGGAAAGGGCUGCUUCACGCUUGUCACAGGGACUCGGGAGGCUAAACCCACCCCCAAGGUUGAAGGGUGGGACUCAACACCCACCCAGAGAACGGGCACCCAGCAGGAGAAAAGCGCUCACCCCCUUGUCCAGCUGACUCCCUCUUUCUCCCCCAUCUCACACACACAAACACACAAACACACCACAGGGACUAGGAUUAACCCGAGAGGACCACAAUAGGCGCACAUGUCCCCCCUCAGCCAGCCUGGGCCCAUUCAGGUCCUCUGUUACUCACCAUCCUAACAUGGAUUAGGCUUAAUGAACUGGAAGGAGUUAACAAUAAAUGAAUCAGGGCCUAUAAGCAGCCUCCUAAUUCCAUUUUGUGUUCUGAUGCUUUUCUUUCUGUUUGAACACAAGGUGUAAUCCACUUGACUAUCAAAGGUGCAGGGAGAGUAUGAAUUGAAACUAGCCC